UACGGAGGGUGCGAGCGUUGUUCGGAAUCAUUGGGCGUAAAGCGCGCGCAGGCGGUCUGGGAAGUCUAUGGGUGAAAUGCCGGGGCUCAACUCCGUGCGUGCCCAGGAUACUCCCAGGCUGGAGACAUGUAGAGGCGAGCGGAAUUCCGGGUGUAGCGGUGGAAUGCGUAGAGAUCCGGAAGAACACCAGAGGCGAAGGCGGCUCGCUGGGCAUGAUCUGACGCUGAGGCGCGAAAGCGUGGGGAGCGAACAGGAUUAGAUACCCCCGUAGUCC
rnacentral:rRNA from 1 species